GGGACUGUAGUUAAAAAUAACAUUUGGCUUGCAUCCAAAAAGUAUUAACUUUUGUUAAUCUAUCUCA
rnacentral:tRNA from 1 species